rnacentral:lncRNA from 1 species
AUUUUUCUACUCAAGUUCAAAAUGGGUCAUAAAGCAGUGGAAACAACUCACAACGUCAACAGUGCACUUCGCCCAGGAACUGCUAACAAAAAUAUACUGCAGUGGUGGUUCAAGAAAUCUUGCAAAGGAGAUGACAGCCUUGAGUAUGAGCAGCACAGUGGAUGGCCACUGGAAGCUGACAACGACCAACUGAGUGGAUUAUCAGAGCUGAUCCUCUUACAACUUCACAAGAAAUGGCUGAAGAACUCAAUGUGGUGAACCAUUUCCAUUUGAAGCAAAUUGGAAAGGUGAAAAAACUCCACAAGUGGGUGCCUCAUGAGCUGACCACAAAUCCAAAGUUCAUCAUUUUGAAGUGUCAUCUUCUCUUAUUCUAUACAACAAUGAACCAUUUCUCGAUCAGACUGUG